rnacentral:sRNA from 1 species
GCUAUGUCUAGGCUGAUCCCCGAAAACCCGCACACCUCUGCGGGCUGGCAUAGCCGCCAAAAUCAGAGG